GGUUAUAGAAGAGAAUCCACCAAUAAACAUCGAUCUCAUAUGCAAUUGCCUUUAUGGAACUUCAAUUGAUGAUUCCAUUCAACCGGAUAUGGUAUUCACUUCUUUUGAUUGUCCUCUAUUGUGGGUAAGUCUUUUUGUCUGACUCUGAAGAAUCUUUGAUGAAUUAUAAUUUUAGUCAUGCUAUUUUUCAAAGGGGCUUGCAGUUUCAGUUACUUGUAUAAAAUGCUGAUGAAAAAAUAUAUAUCAAACUAGGACCAUUGAUUCAAAUGAGUGUUGGUUAAACCACUAACUCUAUAGUCUUGCCAAUUCCUAGUCUGCGUAAAUUUUGGUUCCUAAUUCCAUUGACCUUUUUUUUUCUUUUUAUCUUGGUUUUUAUUAUAUGCUGUCUUUUUGUGAAGAACACUACAAGUAUGUCAAUGAAUACUCCAAUUGGAACACUGCCAAUUGUAACUUGAUAUGUGAAAGAGGUGCACUUUUCUUUCAGGAAGAGCUAUAAUUCACACCUUGUGUACAAUGGUGAAAUCUUGUUUAGAGAACAUUAUUAGAGAUGCUGAUGUUACUGAGAAUAAGAUGAAGGCUGCAAAAAUAGCAA